rnacentral:ncRNA from 2 species
CCCGUAACCCCCGGGAGCGCGCACCGAGCGUGCUGAGAGGACGGCUGGGGCCGUCGACCGGAUGAACCUGACCGGGUAAUGCCGGCGUAGGGAGUGAUGAAGAUGGCUGU